CAUUUCAAGGCCAAGCACGCCCCCAAAAUCUGUUUCUAAUUUUACAGAAAUCUUUUGAAAUUUGGCACGGUAUUCAAAAGUCCGUGAAAAGAAAAAAACUUGUCCUGACUUCAGCUUCCAAUGAAGACAGACUUCCUUCAACGGUUUUCGCAGAUCCAGUGAGCCACGCUCUGCAGGAAGAAUUAGCUAACUUCCCAAACAUCUGGAAAAAUGAAGACAUGGUUAAAGAUUGUAUUUGGAAUCACUACUUCUGCUCUACUGGCUUUAUUGAUGGUGUGCAUUGUCUUAAAUCCUUCCAGAGUUUAUCACUCUAAAGGAAGUACAGCAAGAGCCCUCACACUGAAUGAUAUUUUAAAUGGGACAUUUUCUUAUAAGACAUAUUUUCCAAACUGGAUUUCAGGAGAAGAAUAUCUUCAUCAAUCUACAGAUGAUAAUGUAAUAUUAUAUAAUAUUGAAACAGGAGAAUCAUAUACAAUUUUGAGCAACAGCACCAUGAAAAGUGUGAAUGCUUCAAAUUAUGGUUUAUCACCUGAUCGCCAAUUUGCAUAUCUUGAAAGUGAUUACUCAAAGCUUUGGAGAUAUUCUUACACAGCAACAUAUCACAUCUAUGAUCUCAGGAAUGGAGAAUUUCUAAAAGGAUAUGAGCUUCCUCGUCCAAUUCAGUAUUUAUCCUGGUCGCCUGUUGGGAGUAAACUAGCAUAUGUCUAUCAAAACAACAUCUAUUUGAAACAAAGACCAGAAGAUCCACCUUUUCAAGUAACUUAUAAUGGAAAAGAAAAUAAAAUAUUUAAUGGUAUCCCAGACUGGGUUUAUGAAGAGGAAAUGCUUGGUACAAAAUAUGCUCUCUGGUGGUCUCCCAAUGGAAAUUUUUUGGCAUAUGCAGAAUUUAAUGAUACAGAUAUACCAGUUAUUGCCUAUUCUUAUUACGGUGAUGAACAGUAUCCUCGAAUCAUAAAUAUUCCAUACCCAAAGGCAGGAGCUAAGAACCCUACUGUUCGGAUAUUUAUUAUUGAUACCAUCUACCCUCAGCAUGCCGGGCCCAGACAAGUGCCAGUUCCUGCAAUGAUAGCCUCGAGUGAUUACUAUUUCACCUGGCUCACGUGGGUUACUGAUGACAGAGUAUGUGUGCAGUGGCUAAAAAGAGUUCAGAAUGUUUCCGUCUUGUCUAUAUGUGAUUUUAGGGAAGACUGGAAUACAUGGGAUUGUCCAAAGGCCCAGGAGCAUGUAGAAGAAAGCAGAAGUGGCUGGGCUGGUGGAUUCUUUGUUUCAGCACCAACUUUUAGCUAUGAUAGCAUUUCAUACUACAAAAUAUUUAGCGACAAGGAUGGCUACAAACAUAUUCACUACAUCAAAGACACUGUGGAAAAUGCUAUUCAAAUUACAAGUGGCAAGUGGGAGGCCAUAAAUAUACUCAGAGUAACACAGGAUUCACUGUUUUAUUCCAGCAAUGAAUUUGAAGGUUACCCUGGAAGGAAAAAUAUCUACAGAAUUAGCAUUGGAAGCUAUCCUCCAAGCAAGAAGUGUGUUACUUGCCAUCUAAGGAAAGAAAGGUGCCAAUAUUACACAGCAAGUUUCAGUUACUAUGCCAAGUACUAUGCACUCAUCUGCUAUGGUCCAGGCCUCCCCAUUUCCACCCUCCAUGAUGGCCGUACUGACCAAGAAAUUAAAAUCCUAGAAGACAACAAGGAAUUGGAAAAUGCUUUAAAACAUAUCCAGCUGCCUAAAGAAGAAAUUAAGAAACUUGAAGUGGAUGAAAUUACUUUAUGGUACAAGAUGAUUCUUCCUCCUCAAUUUGACAGAUCAAAGAAGUAUCCUUUGCUAAUUCAAGUGUAUGGUGGUCCCUGUACCCAGAGUGUGAAGUCUAUAUUCUCUAUUAACUGGAUAUCUUAUCUUGCAAGUAAGGAAGACAUAGUCAUUGCCUUGGUGGAUGGUCGAGGGACAGCUUUCCAAGGUGACAAAAUAUUGUAUGCAGUGUAUAGAAAGCUGGGUGUUUAUGAAGUUGAGGAUCAGAUUACAGCUGUCAGAAAAUUCAUAGAAAUGGGUUUCAUUGAUGAAAAAAGAAUAGCCAUAUGGGGCUGGUUCCUCACACCUGCAGUGUCCAUCCAUGCCACUUGCUUCUUCUAUUUCCUACCUCUUUCUCCUUCCAAAAUGGAAAACUUCCACUUGCUGUUUAAGACUCAACUCAGGUUUGAUUUUGCAUUCCUAUAGCUUUUUAUAUUUUUCUUUAUAGGACUGAGAAUUCAUUAAUGGAACGGACUAUCUUUUCUUAACUUUGUUUUUCAAAUGUUUAGCAUAAUAUAUAGCCAUGUCAAAUAUUUUGAUGCUAUUUAAACUGAAUUUAACCCGAUAAGUCAGAGUUCUCCAAAAAUGUAUCUUACUAGGACUAGAUUUUUUAGGAACAACCAGUGGUCUAGUAAUUUAGUAAAUCAUUAAAUGUUUUACAAUAGUGUAUAUAGGUAUAAUAGAGGACAAGUAACAUAACAUUAUAAGAAGUAUGUAAUUCCACAAUUUUUUAUUCCUCACCCAUCCCCAAAUACAUCAACAUGGACACUUAUAGAAAAAGGGAUGUUAAAGUCAAUUAGGAGUGGUAUUGGUAUUUUAGAAAGAUCGUUUUAGGUGGAGAGUGGAGGAUGGCUAACACAGUAGAAGAGGAAGGAUCAAGGGAUAGAAUUGGAUAUGGAUCCAAGCACCUAAUGUACGCUAGUGAACUAGAGAUUGGAAAAAUGCCACAGCUCUGAUCGUUUGUUUACAAACUAAUAACCACAAAUGUAUUAGAAAUUGGAGGCAAAAAAGAGGAAGACAUUGAUGAAGAUCACAAGGUUAUUUUGCUAUUAAUGUAUUCCAUGUUAGGGGACAAACUAUCAGUUGUCAUGAAAUGUUUGUUACUUCUGUGGUCUGCAUGACACAUCAUGUUUAACUUAACUUCUUCCAGAAUCAGUUGGUCAGUAAGACAAAUCCUACAUGCUUCUCCAUUAUCCAGACCAAAAAGGGAAGGAGGUAAUUCCACCUUCCCCUUUCAUUUUUCUGGCUCAAAUAAAGCAAAACCGAAUAGCCUGGCUUUUAGGCGGCUAUUAAAUAUCUACUAUGUGAUCGCCAUGGUGCCUAAAAAGUAGGGUGGAUUUGUCCUCAGAACAUUAAGCAAUGUCUGGAAUCCUUUCUGAUUGCCACACCUAGGGAGGGUCAUUGUCAUUUAGGAGAUAGGAGCCUGGAAGGCUGUUAAACCUCCAUCAAUGCAGCAAAGACCCUACAAUAAAGAGCUCUCUAACCCAAAAUACCAAAAUUGUUAAAACCCUGUAUGGAAUGAAAAAUUGAAGCAAUUGCUCUGACAACUAUAGAGCUGUGAAAUUUUGCCUAAAUUAUUAGAACAGACUCAUUUAGGGGCUUUGCUUUGUUAAUAUAGACCUAGCCAGGUGGUGUUGAAUAAGCAUUAGUUAAUUAUUUAAUCUUAGUUCCUUUCUCUUCCACUGACUAAUUGUCAGCAAUUUGAAUUGCUGUGCUUGAUCAACAACGUAAAAGUAGGACAAUUGCACUUGCAAUGAGACUAUUAUUUCCCUUCGAAGAAGAUGCUCUAGUGUAGGGAUACAGGAGAAAUUCCCUGAGUUGUAGAGUUAGGUGUCCUGUGUUGAAGCCUCCGUUCUCCUGCUUACCGAGCCCAUAGUUCAUUCUGAAUCUCACUUCCCUCACUGUGAAACGCAGCAAUCACUUCCUUGCUAGGUCACUGGGAGGAUUACCUGAGUUCAUAGCAAAGUCAUAUAUUCAACAAAUAUUACUUCUAUCCCUAUUCUGUGUUAGUCCAGAUCCUCAAGGCUGAGGUUAUAUUUAUUGGCAAGACAGACAAAAUUAAUCUCACAGAGCUUGGAAUCUUUGAGGACCAAGACAACGAGCAAUAUAAAUAAGUAAACUAUAGAAUGUGGAAUGGUGUUAAUGCCAUGGAGAAAUGUAAAACAAAACAAGGAGGGGUGCAGAGAAUAAGCUUAAACUACAAGAUCAGAGAAGAGAGGUGACAUUUGAAUUAGAAAAAAGGAAGUGAGUCAUACUGUCUUCGGAAUAAAAAACACCAAGCAGAAGGUCAUAGCAUUUGCAAACGUCCUGAGGCUAGAUAAUGCUUGGAGAAUUCAAGGAACAUGAGGAGAGCCAAUGAGCAAUCAGAAGAGACAGGUGGAGGAGGUGUAAGGAGGGAGAAGGGAGACAGAUUGUGUGGGCCCCCAGAAGACCAAUGCAAUAAGCUUGGUCAGAAAAAUGUUAACUAGUUAUUAUUACUGUCUGUAGGUAAAAUGUGCAUUAUGGCUCAUAUAAAAUCUUCCAUAAGACCUCUCAAAAUUCUGCGCCAUUCUAAGAAUGUUUUAAAAGACAUUCUUCAUUUAAAUAAAAUGGCAAGGCAUCUAAGUGCAAAGGACACAGUUCUAGAAUUCUUAAGGCCAAUCUGCUCUGUAGGUUCUUCGCCUAUUGCAGUCACCCACUCAGGCUGGGAGCCCCACUCAUGGGAGAGCAUAAAAAGUCAGCAUGGGCCUCUCUCCCCCUUCAUUUACAAUAGGCACAGCUUUUCCAAGCUGCCUGGAAAUUCAAAGCAUAGCCUUCUUCUAUUGUGCUACAAAUACAGUAGCUUUUGCCCUAAUAAAUCCCUAGAGAAAAAAACUGUAUUCAUUAUGAAAACAGGAAGAUUAUAUUUAAAUACAGCACUAACACUUAAUCUCUGAGCCUAUACAUAUUAAUAAUUCCUAGGAUUUUUAGCAGAAAUGUUCAAGAAACUUUUUACUAUAUGCAAAAUCUUUCUGUAUCCAAUCUCACUUCAUGCUAUUUUCUGCUCUGGGGCAUUGAAGACAAGAGGCAAGACCUAGUGUUUUUAUUUUUUGUAAAUAUUCUUUUCCAAUAAAAUCAUGAACAAUAAUCAUUUUCUAAAGGCCUUAAGUUUACUCUUAUUUAAAUUUAAAAUUAAAAAGGAAGGAAAUCCCUUCCAUUUUAGGAAUAGUUCUUGCUAACCUACUAAUCAAAACAAAUUAUUUUUAUAAGUGAAAGUUUGAAUGAGAUAGAAAAUUUUCACUUACCAAAAUGACUUUCAAAUGCAAAUGUUCCUUCUGUUUUUAAAAUAUAAUUUUCCCCUAUUAAAACAUGGCUUAGUUCUCCUCCAAGUAUAAUAAAAAGAGGCCGUGGUAUAAUUGGAGCCGCCUCUUUUAUUCUGUAUUUUGCAGCCAACGGCCUUCAAUAAAUUCACCAGAGUUGGAAACAUGAAACUGUAAACUAGUUAGAGGAUUCUUCAUUUAACUGCUGAAUUCAACACAAUUGCAGCUUAUUCUUCCACUCUCUGUAUUUCACAGAUUAAAGUCCUAUGGAGGUUAUGUUUCAUCACUGACCCUUGCAUCUGGCUCUGGUCUUUUUAAAUGUGGAAUAGCAGUGGCUCCAGUCUCCAGCUGGGAAUAUUACGCAUCUAUAUAUACAGAGCGAUUCAUGGGUCUGCCAACAAAGGACGAUAACCUUGCACACUAUAAA